AUUUUGCACGGUGAUACCAUGUGAUUACGGCCAGUGGACUAGUGUCGAAUGCUGGCCGCUUACUCUAUUGUCAACAAGGUGAACUACGUGUGACUCUGGACAGAUGAGAGCCUGGAUGAUUAGUGUGUUUCUAUCCCGAGCUGACAGGGACCUGGCAUGGCCAGCCUCCAAGCACCAGAACUGGACACUGCCACUGAUGGAGGCCGUCCAGAACAGCUCUAGCAGGACACAGCAGUGUCGUUGUUGUCAGCUCAUUCAGGUGUCCCGAGGCUGUGUUUGGUUCUGUCCUGGGCGAAUCAGAUGCCAGCGUGUCAUCCCCUCAAGGAUCUGAACACCACCGUACAAACAAAACGGACAGACCAACCUUGGGAUGCUCUCUACCUCACCUGACUCCACUCUAAGAAUGGCUUCAGUCGUGCCUGCGGUGAGUGGAGUUGUCAGUGCAAAGGACAGUUUGUUUACUCCGCAAAAUGACAAUUGAAAUAUACAAUGUCUCCAGCGUCUCUGAACUGUGUGGAAAAAAUCAAUUAAAGGAAACAGUUCUGAGCUUGUUAAGCCUGACAGAAAAAAAAACACUGCAGCUGGUUUUAAUGUUCUAAAUAGAAACACAAUGCGAGAGAAUCAGUCCUGUU